rnacentral:lncRNA from 10 species
CUAAUUUGGAAUUUCGAAUUCCCUGUCCUGUGCACUCUUCCCAUGGCAAUGUGUUUUCUCUGCUGCCCCUCCUCACACACACACACACACACUCAUGUGCAUGUGCACACACCAAGGAAAAAGAUUGAAGGUGCCUAAUCUGUUGCAAAACAAACCUAAAAGCUAUUUAUGUUUUUCUGUAUUAAUACAGAGGAGCAAUUGCUUGAAAACCUGUGAUAGCAAAACUGUACAAGUGGGAGAUUAUUUCAUUUCCAAGAUAUAACCAAUCAUGCUGUCCCCAGAACCGCCCGAGAAGAAAUCUGAGAUUGGGAAAUCUGAGAACAGGCACACGGCUCGAAUUAUCAGAAAAGUCGCUGAGAUAAGACAUGCAUGAUCUCCUUCCUAAAGAGGACAAGAAUGACAGCCACAUCAUCUGGAGAAGGCAGCCAGGGAAGUACUCAAGAGAAAACACUUCUGUGGGUGACUUGAAGAAGCUGGUCACCAUAUGGUUGUGGACCAAGCUUCACUUUUUUGCAGCUUUCUGUUCCAACAAGUUACUCCCCCCAGAUCCCACCUAUUUUAAAAGCAACUCCCAGAGAAAGAAAGGCUUGACAGCCAACAGAUGACCACCACAUUCUCUCCCACAAGUCGUCUGAUUUCAAAAGACCAGUGUUCCUGAUCUUCGAAAUUGUAACAAACCUUCCUUAAUGUUAAUUCCCAAGCUAAUUAUGAACAACCUGAGCACAAAGUCUAAUGCUUGGAGUUUUC